GGCGGCUAGAGGAUUGCUGUCCAAUUUGAACGGGAUACACCAGUGAUGCUGAGGUUCUGGAUUCCGUAGAAACAAGAUUCGCACUGGAACUGAACGCAGACAGACCGGGACCUAACCACAAGAGGCACUUGAGAUCUCAGUGAAGAUGGGUCCACUUACUGCAGUUAUCCAUUUCAAACGAAUCCAGUGAAAUGCUGUUGCCGUUGUAAAUGCAGUUUUGUUGCGAGUCGCCGUCGCCUUGUCGUGUUCUGUGCCACUGCUGAAGCCAGUAGAUGUCACAUGAGCAGCUGACAUCAGAAAUCCCUCUCACUUUUCAGCCCUUCCCCUCCAACCACCUGUCUCCAUUCUGGGGGUGUGGAUAGACCACACAGGACAGAGAGUUAUAUGGACAUCAGGCAGGUGAGGAGAUGUACAGACAGUGCUGUGCGGUGCCCGGUGGAGGGCAGAGAGUUCCUGCAAAGUCAACUGCUGGGAAAACGUUGCCUUCUAAGACACAAAUCACUUUUAAUGAGGCAUGAGCGGAACAUGGCGACGGCCUGGUGAUGACGGUUACAAAGCAUUGCCUCUAAAAUGACGGCUGACAUCACAAAUCCCUCAAACUCCUCCACUUCAGCCACCUGCCUCCAUUCUGGUAUGUAACACCCACAAUUCAGUCAAUUCUGGGUAAAAGGGUAAAAUCAAAUCCCUCCGUACUUUUUUGUGUCCACAUAUACAGUUUUACUCAGAAAUAUGUCAGAUAACAGAUGUAAAAAAUGAAUAGCAAUCUGUAUUUAAUUUGGUGGAAUAACUUGGAAGUCAAUAAAAUGGAAUUAUUUUAAAUGCA